rnacentral:rRNA from 1 species
UUGGCCUCAAUCAGUAGACUACCGCUGAACUUAAGCAUAUCAUAAGCGGAGAA